rnacentral:tRNA from 1 species
GACUUCGUGGUGUAACGGUAGCACACUCGGGGGAGAUCGAGAGGUCCAGGUUCGAAUCCCGGAGAAGGCA